AACGCACAUGGCGCUUGCCGCGUGGCAAGCAUACCUGUUUGAGCGGGGGGAAUGAUUGAUUAUUUGGCUCUUUUCUGUCGGGAAUUUGCCUAAAUAGAUUUGAGGUGUCAGGGUGAAGGAAGUGACGCCGUGUGGUACGGGACUAUUGUUCCUUGGCAUGGCGCCAUGACUCUCAACCCUUGCCCCACCAGAACCCACAAAUCCCCCUCAAAUCAGGCAAGACUACCCGCUGAACUUAA
rnacentral:misc_RNA from 1 species